UACAGAGGGGGCAAGCGUUAUUCGGAAUUAUUGGGCGUAAAGGGCGCGUAGGCGGUAUGGCAAGUGGAAGGUGAAAUCCCUCGGCUUAACCGAGGAACUGCCCUCCAAACUGCUUUACUUGAGGCCGGGAGAGGUGAGUGGAAUUCCCAGUGUAGCGGUGAAAUGCGCAGAUAUCAGGAGGAACACCGAUGGCGAAGGCGGGCCUCUGGGCCGAUACUGACGCUGAGGAGCGAAAGCAUGGGUAGCGAACAGG
rnacentral:rRNA from 1 species